rnacentral:rRNA from 1 species
AAACCAACAGGGAUUGCCUUAGUAACGGCGAGUGAAGCGGCAAAAGCUCAAAUUUGAAAUCUGGUACUUCUGGUGCCCGAGUUGUAAUUUGUAGAAGGUAAUCUUGGGAGUGGGCCUUGUCUAUGUUCCUUGGAACAGGACGUCGAAGAGGGUGAGAAUCCCGUAAGGCGAGGAGACCAACUUCUUUGUAAGAUGCUUUCGAAGAGUCGAGUUGUUUGGGAAUGCAGCUCUAAGUGGGUGGUAAAUUCCAUCUAAAGCUAAAUAUUGGCGAGAGACCGAUAGCGAACAAGUACAGUGAUGGAAAGAUGAAAAGCACUUUGAAAAGAGAGUGAAACAGUACGUGAAAUUGUUGAAAGGGAAGGGCUUUAGAUCAGACUUGGUAUUUAGGUAUCAUUGCUCCUUGUGGGCGGUGCUCUAGCUUUUUACUGGGCCAGCAUCGGUUUGGGCGGUAGGAUAAUGGCUCAGGAACGUGGCUCUGCUUCGGUGGAGUGUUAUAGCCUGUGGCUGAUACUGCCUGCCUAGACCGAGGACUGCGUCUUUUUGACAAGGAUGUUGGCGUAAUGAUCUAAAGCCAC